rnacentral:rRNA from 1 species
UAGGGAAUAUUGGACAAUGGGUGAGAGCCUGAUCCAGCCAUGCCGCGUGCAGGAAGAAGGCCUUCUGGGUUGUAAACUGCUUUUGCCGGGGGAUAAAAGGCCCCUGCGGGGGACAUUGAAGGUACCCGGUGAAUAAGCCACGGCUAACUACGUGCCAGCAGCCGCGGUAAUACGUAGGUGGCAAGCGUUGUCCGGAUUUAUUGGGUUUAAAGGGUGCGUAGGCGGCCCCGUAAGUCAGUGGUGAAAUACGGCAGCUCAACUGUCGAGGUGCCAUUGAUACUGCGGGGCUUGAGUAUGGACGAGGUAAGCGGAAUUGACGGUGUAGCGGUGAAAUGCUUAGAUAUCGUCAAGAACACCGAUGGCGAAGGCAAUCCCCUGGACCUGUACUGACGCUCAUGCACGAAAGCGUGGGGAGCAAACAGGAUUAGAUACCCAAGUAGUCCCUGAGCGGGCUGGCAAGGCGCAU